rnacentral:sRNA from 1 species
UCUACUACUCUACAAGUAUUUUUUCUCAGCUGGUCUGAGCAAGGAGACUUCUCAGUAUGCUAGGGUAGCCACAGGUGUUGUAAAAGUCAUGAUGACCUUCAUAUAUGCCCUGAUUAUGGACUGGGCAGGCAGAAGAACUCUGCACAUGAUUGGUCUCGUGGGCAUGUGUAUCUCCUAGUUGUUUGCCUUUCACUACAGAAAACAUUGCCCUGGCUAUCAUACAUAAGCAUUGUGGCUGUCAUCAUCUACACCUGUCUCUUUGCUACUGGACCAGGACCAAUACCUUGGUUUAUGGUGACUGAGAUGUUUGCGCAGGGUCCUAGGUCAGCCGCUGCCAGUGUUUCCGUGGUGAUCAUCUGGCUGUGCAACUUUGCUGUUGGCUUAGUGUUUCCUAUUUUACAGGUAAGUACAUUUUAAGGUGAUCUAAGUAAACAAGUAAAGUACCCUUUUCAGGCUUUGGGAUGUAUAGGACAAAUGAUGUCAUCUGUUUCUAUGGUUGACAGGGUGU